UUCGCAAUGCCCGAAAGGGUGACGAAGCGACGCCGCGUGAGGGAUUGAAGGCCUUCGGGUUGUAAACCUCUUUUGCACCGUUAGAAGAGGGUACGUGUGAAUAGCGCGAACCCUCGGACGCAGGUGAGAAAAAGCUCCGGCUAACUACGUGCCAGCAGCCGCGGUAAUACGUAGGGAGCGAGCGUUGUUCGGAUUUACUGGGCUUAAAGGGUGCGUAGGCGGCCCGUGAACUCGGUGGUGAAAUCCCGCUCCUCAAAGGCGGAACGGCUACCGAAAGUGACGGGCUCGAGGGUGGGAUGGGAGAGUGGAACUCCUGGUGUAGCGGUGAAAUGCGUAGAUAUCAGAAGGAACGCCCGUGGCGAAAGCGAGGUCCUGGACGUCUGCUGACGCUGAGACGCGAAAGCUAGGGGAGCAAACGGGAUUAGAUACCCCGGUAGUCCUAGCCGUAAACGAUGGGCACUAAGUAGAGGGGUUUU
rnacentral:rRNA from 1 species